CAGCCGCCGCGGGAAUACGAAGGGUGCAAGCGUUACUCGGAAUUACUGGGCGUAAAGCGUGCGUAGGUGGUGGUUUAAGUCCGUUGUGAAAGCCCUGGGCUCAACCUGGGAAUUGCAGUGGACACUGGGUCACUAGAGUGUGGUAGAGGAUAGUGGAAUUUCCGGUGUAGCAGUGAAAUGCGUAGAGAUCGGAAGGAACAUCUGUGGCGAAGGCGACUAUCUGGGCCAACACUGACACUGAGGCACGAAAGCGUGGGGAGCAAACAGGAUUAGAUACCCCUGUAGUCCCUGUCUCUUAUAC
rnacentral:rRNA from 1 species